rnacentral:rRNA from 1 species
UAAUCUAAUAUAAGAAGUCUGACCUGCCCAGUGAAAUUUUUAACGGCCGCGGUACUCUGACCGUGCAAAGGUAGCAUAAUCACUUGCCUUAUAAUUGAAGGCUUGUAUGAACGGUUUGACAAGAAUAAAGCUGUCUCUUUUUAAAUACAUAAAAUUUGAUUUUUAGGUGAAGAAGCCUAAAUUAAAUUGAAAGACAAGAAGACCCUAUCGAGCUUGAAAACUUUUUAUUAUAUAGUGAUUAAAUCAAAUUUUAAUAAAAAUUUUUAGUUGGGGCGACUGAGGAACAAAAAAGCUUCCUUUAAAUUUAUUUACCAAUAAGUUUUGAUCCAAAAUAUUUGAUUAAAAAAAUUAGUUACCGUAGGGAUAACAGCAUAAUUUUUCUUGAGAGCUCAUAUCGAAAGAAAAGUUUGUGACCUCGAUGUUGGACUAGGAUAUCCUGAUAGAUGUAGAAGUCUUCAAUGGUUGGUCUGUUCGACCA